AGGGCUCUCGGACCGGGAGUCAUCAUGGUCUAUAAGUUAAUCAUCAAUGGUUUUCUUCAUAGUUAGCAUCAAAUCUUGUGUGAUUAACUUUCCAGAUAGAACUAUAAUGCUCGAAAAGUUACCUUCAUAAGAUAUGUCUUUGUAGUAUAUAUGAUACCUUCAUAAGAUAUGUCUUUGUAGUAUAUAUGAUACCUUCAUAAUGACCAUGUGUUCUGAUGUGGAUGCUUGCUUAUGUGGCUGCAGAUCGACUUGCGAAUUAGAGAAGAGUAUUUUCACCAAAAUUGAGUUGAGAUAUUUUUGUUCGUCUUGGUUGUGUUGAAUAUAUGAUUUAGCUACAGAUAAUCAUUAAUCAACUAAUGCAAUUUCUUUGCCAAGCUGUAGUUAGAGUUAAUGUGCCACUGCUUAUUUUAUAUCCUUUAUUUAUUCUUAUUCUUCUAAAUGAAAUAGGAGAUUUGUUGGUGCUCCAUUAACUAAAUAUCGCUGACAAAAUGUUGUCCUCAUUUCACUUGAGAGAAAAAUUGCGUACUGUGUGAACCAACUGGUGAUUCAUGUUGCUUCCCUGGAUAUUGAUGUCACUGGUGAUUUUAUAUCAUUUGUUACUAUUCUUUAAUCGCCAAAUCAUAUAGGAGAUUAUGUUGGUGCCCAAUUGACCAAAUGUUGCUGAAAACUGACAAAAUGUUGUUCUGGUUUCAGUUUGAGCGCAAAUUGCAUACUGUAUAAACUAACGGGAGAUUUCUGUUGUUCCGAGAAUAUUGUAGGAAGGCUGGACUAUAAUGGGAAACAUUGGUGUUUCUAAGACAGAUGUUCUGUGUUUGAGAUCUUGCCUUGGUGGCUGGAUGCCUUGGUACAAGACAUUCAAGAUCCAAGGUUUAAACCGACAAAAAAUGCUCUCAGUUCUCAUAUCAAUUUUUUAUGCCAGCUGUGCAUGCUCAAAGAUUUUGGUCGGCAACUUAUAGUGUGUAUCAAAGGAUUCUGAAAAAUAAAUAAGGUUGAGUUGUUAUUGGACAUUGGACCUUUAUAUCUUUUGCAUGAAAAAAUGAUGCCUUGAGUGACAAAUAUCCUAGCAAGCUUGGUGUUUUCUGCUUUGGAAUUUCUUUUUAUUUACUAAUAUGCAUUCUCUACAAAUAAUUUGCAUCGCUUGGAUGAGGACAUCAUCAAAACCAUGACACCUUUUUGAGGCUGAGAAGAGUUGAAAGGUUCAAAGUGGUGAUUGUGUUGGUUGUACCUUGCGUGUUAUUUCCUACUGGGCUAUAAAUGGAAAACAAUUGAUCCCUUUCCCUUUAAUUUGUUUGACGACUGAAUUAAAGUUAGUGCAAGCAUGUUUCAGUUAAUAGGAUGUUCUAUGUUUUUACAGGUCAUUGCGGUUGUCGUUCCCAUGAUCCCGUCGUUCGCGUAUGUUCGUUUGUUUACUCGGUCAUUCCUAGAGAGUAUAAUUCAUGUGCUCUGUCUUGGUUGAUAAUGUAUACUUCUCUUGCUUUCUUACUGUUGAGGAGAUGGAUUAGAUAUAUAUUGUACUUCUAGGCAUGUCCUUGGUCUCUGCAAAGUACUUUUUGUUGGUGCCUUCCUUGCUUUAUUUGGUACCUUGCUAUUUCCCACUGUCGAUUAGGAGACAAAUAUGGCAUCAACCCCUAUCCUUGCUCUUUGCAGAGGAGGUUUUUGUUCUUUUGUUUGAUAUAUAUAGGUGUUAAAAGACGAGUAGUGAGUUGAGUCAGUGGCAGGGUAGUCUUGGCAGGGUAGUCUGGAUGAGUCUAUCUAAGUAUAUAAGUCUGUUGUUGGUCUGCUUCCUUUGAUUAUCCUGAUUUUGCGCUUAGAAUUAACUCAAAUUUGUACUUAUGCUUGAUGGGUGAUUGGAUGUGUGUGUGUGUGCGUGUGCGUGUGUGGGUGUGUGGGUGUGGGUGUGGGUGUUGGUGUGGUGUGGUGUGGUGUGCAUGCGUGCGCACGCGUGUGCGUGUGUGUCCUUGGUAACUUCAAUUUGCAAAGCUUCUCAAACGGCUAGGUUGUUUAUCUAUUAUUUUACUCUCUAAUGUCAACUCUGCCUCUUUUUUCUUCAGUCCUUUUGUUGUUUGUUUUGUUAUGCAACCUUUGGCGUUGUAGUGCAUAUAACUUCUGAUUGCUUCAUGGGCAUUGCUUACUUUCACUUGGGAGUACCCCGAUUUUUGAAUUGCUGUGUUCAUAGCUACAACGUUUUAAUGUAUUACUUCUUACGAAUUAUUGUCACUUUAAGAUUUGAAGAAAAUUUCUAUUGUGUUAUCUUUCUCUUUAGCUUGGAAGUAAGAGUAGCCUUUCCGAUAUCAACGGCCUAUGUUGAAUAAUAUUGUUACAACAAUGAAAACAACUUGCAAAGGUGGAGAUGGAGAGAAAGUUGUUGAUGCUCAAGCCAUGCGAUGAAGUAUGUAGCAAGAAGAGACGAAUGAUGAAACUGUAAGGCUUAUUCUUAGGUUGUAUCUGUUGUGGCAUCGACCUUAGUUUUUUUACUGCUGCUGAUGUUGGCCAUUUGAUGAAUAAUUGAUGAAUGCUCGAUUGUUUAGAGUUGAAUCUAUGAAUAUACCAGUAAUACAAGAUAGUUGUGAUGUGUC